rnacentral:rRNA from 1 species
UACGGAGGUGGCAAGCGUUACUCGGAUUUAUUGGGUGUAAAGGGCAUGUAGGCGGCCAUGUAAGUCGAAUGUGAAAUCCCGCAGCUCAACUGCGGAACUGCAUCCGAAACUACAUGACUUGAGUAUCGGAGAGGAGAGUGGAAUUCCCGGUGUAAGGGUGAAAUCUGUAGAUAUCGGGAAGAACACCUGUGGCGAAGGCGACUCUCUGGCCGAUUACUGACGCUGAAAUGCGAAAGCGUGGGGAGCAAACAGGAUUAGAUACCCGCGUA